rnacentral:SRP_RNA from 1 species
GUUGGGCAUGGUGGCGCGUGCCUGUAAUCCCAGCUACUCAGGAGGCUGAGGCAGGAGAAUCGCUUGAACCCAGGAGGUGGAGGUUGCAGUGAGGCGAUAUCGCGCCACUGCACUCCAUGCACUCCAGCCUGGGUGACAGAGUGAGACUCAGUCUCAA